rnacentral:lncRNA from 1 species
CAAUUUUGCAUGCCCAGUAGUAAAUUUCCUUUCUAACAGGUACCCUAAAAAGUCGGUCCAGCUAGAGGAACCGAACCAGAAUUUUUAUUUUAAUGGGAUUAUUUAUUUAUUUAUUUAUUUAUUUAUUUAUUCAUUCAUUCAUUCAUUCAUUCAUUCAUUCAUUCAUUCAUUCAUUAAAUUUAUACCCCGCCCCUCUCGACUAUGUUUACUCGGGGCGGCUUACAACAUAAAAUAGAACAAUAUAAAAUAUAAAUAAUCAUAAAAUACAAUUAAUAUAUUAGUUAAUACAAUUAGAUUAAAAUUAGCAGAAUGGAAUGAGAUGAGAGAAAGAAAAUAAAAAACUUAGCUGACUAAGGCCUGCGUAAAUAGCCAAGUUUUUAAUUGCUUUUUAGACAUUUCUUGAGCAAUUCCAGAGGGACCUGCAUGAUGAAGAUGUUGGUUUGGGGGGGCAUGGGGCAUAGCUAGCUAGCCCCAUGACUGUGGUGGGUAGUGCAGAAAGACCAAGUUCCAGACCAAAUUUCGGUGAACUUGCAAACUUCUCUUUGACUGCAUCACUCUGGGGUUUCUGAUGGGGUGGCAAUAAUCAGGGUAGUUGGAGCUGCAAUUAAAGAAAUGAUUCCAAUCCAGUGAACCCUGGAAAUUAUCAAGCUCCGAUGAGGUGCUUUGUUUCUUCUCUCUAGAACACCACGACCUGUUGAGCAGCAAAGAACCAAUGAUUUCUGCCAGCAAAUGGACUGAAUCGGGAAUAGGAAGGAACUCGGUUGAAUAGAAAAUAAAUCACUGAGACUAAUAAAUAGGUGCACUCCUAGAUUUGGAGAGGACACCAGAAUUGCACAGCGGCCUGUUUGUUUUCUCCGUCUCCUGCUUGAGAUCCCAACCAAGCUUAAGACAUGCAGUCUGGCAGCAUCUUCAUUGCUGUAUUUUUAUUAAUGAUCUUGGCUUCCCCAGGGGAUGCGUACAUCGGGAUAGAUGCGACAAAUUCUGAAAUGUGCAAUAGCAUGAAGGGCACCUGUACAACGAAUCCUCAGUGCAAUCGUCAAUUUCUAGGAAAAUGUGCGGAAGGAAUCUGGUGUUGCUUACAGUGUCCAGCCACUGAUGUCCAACAUUUCAAAAGUCUGAAGUAUUUCCAUGGCUCAAUAGUUGUUCAAUGAAUGCAAAUCAGCCACAGUUAACCCCUUUUGUCAUUAUCGUCACCAUCAUGAUGAUCAGCCGUGAAGUCAAUUCUGGCUUGCUCUACUCACAGCAGGCACUGAGGGGAAUGGCGCUCUCGGCUUCUGGCUCCUCAGUCAGCUCCCUGAGCCAUGAAGCCCUCUAGUUAAGGCUCAUUAUAUUCCCAGAUAUUCAGCAGUCUUUGGCCUGAAGAACAAUAAAGACAUACAAUGGUGCCCCA